rnacentral:rRNA from 1 species
CGGACGGGUGAGUAACACGUGGAUAACCUACCUAUAAGACUGGGAUAACUUCGGGAAACCGGAGCUAAUACCGGAUAAUAUUUUGAACCGCAUGGUUCAAAAGUGAAAGACGGUCUUGCCGUCACUUAUAGAUGGAUCCGCGCUGCAUUAGCUAGUUGGUAAGGUAACGGCUUACCAAGGCAACGAUGCAUAGCCGACCUGAGAGGGUGAUCGGCCACACUGGAACUGAGACACGGUCCAGACUCCUACGGGAGGCAGCAGCC